rnacentral:rRNA from 1 species
UACGUAGGGUGCGAGCGUUGUCCGGAAUUAUUGGGCGUAAAGAGCUCGUAGGCGGCUUGUCACGUCGGAUGUGAAAGCCCGGGGCUUAACCCCGGGUCUGCAUUCGAUACGGGCUAGCUAGAGUGUGGUAGGGGAGAUCGGAAUUCCUGGUGUAGCGGUGAAAUGCGCAGAUAUCAGGAGGAACACCGGUGGCGAAGGCGGAUCUCUGGGCCGAUACUGACGCUGAGGAGCGAAAGCGUGGGGAGCGAACAGG